UACGUAGGCAGCAAGCGUUGUUCGGAGUUACUGGGCGUAAAGGGUGCGUAGGUUGGCUCUAUAAGUAUGGUGUGAAAUCUCCCGGCUUAACUGGGAGGGUGCGCCGUAGACUGUGGGGCUAGAGUGUGGGAGAGGAAAGUGGAAUUCCUGGUGUAGCGGUGAAAUGCGUAGAUAUCAGGAGGAACACCGGUGGUGUAAACGGCUUU
rnacentral:rRNA from 1 species